CUCCCUCACCUCCAGCUGCUUCAGGAGAAAGGAAUUAAAAUCAAGCCCAAGUUGCUUGCCAGAUGCUGUCCGAAUCUGCCUCUUUUUCUUUCUCUUUUUUUCAGUUAAAGAUAUGGUAUCAGAGAUGGCUGAGAAGCUUGUUAGAGCCAGAGGUGUGAAAGUAAAUGGCUUAUGGAGAGCAAAGCCCUGAGAAGAAAGAAGAAGAAUAUGAGAACCACAACGUUCCAGAGCUAUGCCAGACUUAUCCCCGUGGUACCUUCUGGAGACAACGAAGCGAUGGAUCAUCACAUAUACACAAACACAACCGAUUCUGUGUUUACACAGACUAUGAAGAUUAGGCAAAGCUGGGGAAAAGAAAAGACCUAGAAUGGUAUUAAAAAUGCCAUGUAAUGAUGCAGGAAAGAGCAAGCUAAGGAUUAAUCUAUACUGUGUGAUUCCGUGUUAGUGCCCUGUAAAUGCACACAAACGUUUACAUAAUAACAGACAGAAAGUAUGAAAGAACUCGUCAGCAACUCAUCCACUUCAGAGGAGCACAGGGGAACGAAGCCAUUAAAUUUGCUUCAGUUGUUUGUUAUUCGAAUGGUCCCAGGAAUCAUAUAUUAUAUUAUGAAAUGCAUUUUAAAUACACUAAUUUUU
rnacentral:lncRNA from 1 species